ACGUAAUAGAUACCCGGGUAGUCCACGCCCUAAACGAUGUCUACUAGUUGUUGGUGGAGUAAAAUCCAUGAGUAAACGCAGCUAAACGCGUGAAGUAGACCGCCUGGGGAGUACGGUCGCAAGAUUAAAACUCAAAGGAAUUGACGGGGGCCCGGCACAAGCGGUGGAUUAUGUGGAUUAAUUACGAUGCAACGCGAAAAACCUUAACCUUGGCCGUUGACAUGCCACUAACGAAGCAGAGAUGCAUUAGGUGCCCGUAACGGGAAAGUGGACACAGGUGCUGCAUGGCUGUCGUCAGCUCGUGUCGUGAGAUGUUGGG
rnacentral:rRNA from 1 species